UGUCUGUGUCAAGUGAAACAUGACAACCAUAAAAAUGUAUUAUUCCCUAUACGUGAAUGCACGAAAUGUUUCCAGUGUCAGAAUGUAGUUUAUCGACGAGAGUGCAAAACAUUGAAGCUAUGUAGCUCGGAUGAGAUCUGUUUUGUGCAACAAGUUGUAACAGCAGAUGGGUUUAUUUUGUAUAAUUCAGGAUGCAAACCAAAGUAGAGUUGUCCAAUCGAUUCUGCUCCACUGGUAGGAAGAUCAGCAAGUGUUGUAGAACACCGCUCCACUAACAUGACAACGUGUGAAGAAUGUUGCUCUAGUGACUACUGUAACAGAAAUGGAUGUGGAUCAAACGAAAUACCUUUCUCCAAACGAGGAUCGUAUUGCUUUACGUGUGACGUCCUAAAUCCCAAAACCGACUGUAAUGACGUUGACAUCUGUGCCGCUGACGAAAUGUGUGUGUUAUAUGCACCACCCGAGUUCAGUGGUCUUCCAGAAACAAUCUAUAGAGGUCGUUGUGAAACAAAAACGGGCUGUUUUACACUUGGCCAACAAUGACAACUGUUUGACAAUGUGUUGCGACACGGAUUUCUGCAAUGAUAGGUGUGAAACUCCUACAAAUACCACCGUUGCUACAACGCCAGCCACAACUAGCCAAACGUCUGCGCCAUCUACAAAAGGUCUGUACAAUUAGAGAUACGUCUUACAAUGUUAAAUAUUUCAACAACCUAUUUCCGAAAUUGCAUUAUUUAUGUAACUAUGAAGAAUGUCAAGCAAGAAUGUCUUCCUAGCCGAUAGAUGAGUAAAAGCCUUUCAUAAUUUAAUAUUUGAACGAUAUGUUUAUAAAUCGACGCGUCUGAUGUUCUUCUGCCAUUUUACAUUUUGUUAUGAACAUGAUUUAACAUAAAAACGUGCACAGCUUUAUCUUAGCAACUUCAACUCACGGGCAUUGCAAUACCAGUGACGGCUUCGAGUAUGUACACAAUGUGCAUGCGAAAAUGUGUGUCUAUUUUGUACAAAAUCACAGUCACAAAACAUGGGAUGAUGCAAGACACAGAUGUCAAAUAAUAAACUCAGAACUUGUCGUCCUGGACACACACGCAAAAGCUGCUCUCAUCAGGAAAUACAUUAUAAAACAUACUCGACUCCACACUGAUAUGUAUUGCGUUGGUGCCAGAGACUUCAAUAAUCAUGACCAUUUCUCUUGGGUAAAUGGCAAUUCAGUACAUGUCAAUACAAAUGACUGGGAUAACCAUCAGCCGGACACUACUGGACAUGGACAUGACAAAGACUGUGUGUGCAUACAUCGGGGUGAUGACCAUUCGUACACAUGGCAUAACAAGGAAUGCAAUGAAAAGGGAUUUUUUAUAUGUGAACGAAAAUAAAUAUUAACAUAACUUAAUUAAAUACUUCAUGUUGUCUUAGUAAACCAGUUGUUUUCUUAAUAAUGUAUUUGAAAAAUGUAUAUUUACGAGGGUUGUUGUAAUAAGUCGGGGACAACAACGUUUAAAUUCAAAAUACUGAACGGACUUUUAAGUUGUUCUUUUACACUGAUAUCUAAUACGCUUUUAAUGUUAAUGUAAAAAUGCAGCAUGAUGUCUUAAUGUGAUUACACAGAACAAAU